GUGGUGCAAGAGUUCUGAGGGACCACAAUCCUGAACACAUUGAAUGGCUGUGUUCCUGCUCAUUGCUGGAGGUGCUGUCAGGGGCCCAGCCCUCAACCCCAGGUCUGACCCUUGCAGCUCAGGCAGGACAUUCUGGAGGAAUCACGUCCUUCAAAGGAGCCCUGAGGAGUGACUGUCGUUAGAUGAAAAAACUGGGGCAAAGAGCAAUACGGAGAGUUGCCCAAAUUCACACCACUGGUCCAGGUUUGAAGCAAGCAGUCUGUACCUGGAGUCCUUGUCUGUAACCAUGGCACCCUGCCUUCUCACCCAACUCAUCGUGGAGUUCCACCUUGUGUCAGGCACUGCACUGAGCAGCUUCUUUUAAGAACAUAAUUUGUAAUUAUGUAGAUUACUAAUUCUACUUCAAAAUGCCACACAGCCUUCAUGUGAUUAAAUGAAACAAUUGCUCAUCUGAUCUCCUAGGAUCUCUGCUAAGAUGCUGGCAGCCCAGCCAGCUGGUCUGGCCCUGGAUGUGCCUUAGCGGCUGGUUAUGCUUCAUGACCUGCAUUGUGGUCAGUGCCAUUUUGCAGACCCUGGUCAGAGUGAAACAUUCCAUGGGAACUUGGGCCAUGAGAAACAGCCUUCCUGACCAUGUGACUGCAGAAACAUCCUUAUCGCAUCCUUCCAGGCAAAGGCCCAACAGCCUGACUGCAGGAACAUCCUUGCCAUAUCCUGCUGGGCAGCAAGCUCUACCACCCUGAACCCUCCCUCCCAGUCCCAUGAUUACCCCAGCCUGUGAGUGGCAGUUGGCCCUGGGACUAAGCUGGUUUACCCCUCCGCAGGGCUUUGCUAGCAAUAAAGGUGUUGCUGUUGAAGCCGCCAA